UACGAAGGGGGCUAGCGUUGCUCGGAAUCACUGGGCGUAAAGGGUGCGUAGGCGGGGCUUUAAGUCAGGGGUGAAAUCCUGGAGCUCAACUCCAGAACUGCCUUUGAUACUGAGGAUCUUGAGUACGGGAGAGGUGAGUGGAACUGCGAGUGUAGAGGUGAAAUUCGUAGAUAUUCGCAAGAACACCAGUGGCGAAGGCGGCUCACUGGCCCGUUACUGACGCUGAGGUGCGAAAGCGUGGGGAGCAAACAGG
rnacentral:rRNA from 1 species